GGGGAAUAUUGCACAAUGGGCGAAAGCCUGAUGCAGCGACGCCGCGUGAGCGAAGAAGUAUUUCGGUAUGUAAAGCUCUAUCAGCAGGGAAGAAAAUGACGGUACCUGACUAAGAAGCCCCGGCUAACUACGUGCCAGCAGCCGCGGUAAUACGUAGGGGGCAAGCGUUAUCCGGAUUUACUGGGUGUAAAGGGAGCGUAGGCGGCAAGGCAAGUCUGAUGUGAAAACCCGGGGCUCAACCCCGGGACUGCAUUGGAAACUGCUUAGCUAGAGUGUCGGAGAGGUAAGUGGAAUUCCUAGUGUAGCGGUGAAAUGCGUAGAUAUUAGGAGGAACACCAGUGGCGAAGGCGACUUACUGGACGAUAACUGACGCUGAGGCUCGAAAGCGUGGGGAGCAAAC
rnacentral:rRNA from 1 species